GCUGCCGAGAGAAGGACAGAAUUGUUCCUACAAUUGCAAGACGACCUCACGCUAAGCCAGGCAUGGGGCGACUUUGACCCUCCCUGCAGGCGGUUUGGACUUCAACUCCCACAAUUCCUAACCCUAGGCAGUCUCUUAUCCCAGGACGUCAUUUGAUAGAUCGAUCGAUCGAUAGAUAGAUGAGAGACAAUAUGAGAUGUAAGGAUAGAUAGGUAGAUGGAUAGAUAGACGAUAUGAGUUGUAAGGAUAGAUAGAAAGAUAGAUGAGAGAAUAUGAGAUGUAAGGACGGAUGGAUAGAUAGAAAGAUAGAUGAGAGAAUAUGAGAUGUAAGAAUGGAUGGAUGGAUAGAUAGAAAGAUAGAUGAGAGACAAUAUGAGAUGUAAGGAUAGAUAGGUAGAUGGAUGGAUAGAUAGAUGAGAGAAUAUGAGAUGUAAGAAUGGAUGGAUGGAUGGAUAGAAAGAUGAGAGACAAUAUGAGAUGUAAGGAUAGAUAGGUAAGAUGGAUAGAUAGACGAUAUGAGUUGUAAGGAUAGGUAGAUAGAUAGAUGAGAGAAUAUGAGAUGUAAGGACAGAUGGAUGGAUAGAUAGAAAGAUAGAUGAGAGACAAUAUGAGAUGUAAGGAUAGAUAGGUAGAUGGAUGGAUAGAUAGAUGAGAGAAUAUGAGAUGUAAGAAUGGAUGGAUGGAUGGAUAGAAAGAUGAGAGACAAUAUGAGAUGUAAGGAUAGAUAGGUAGAUGGAUGGAUAGAUAGAUGAGAGAAUAUGAGAUGUAAGAAUGGAUGGAUGGAUAGAUAGAAAGAUAGAUGAGAGACAAUAUGAGAUGUAAGGAUAGAUAGGUAGAUGGAUGGAUAGAUAGAUGAGAGAAUAUGAGAUGUAAGAAUGGAUGGAUGGAUGGAUAGAAAGAUGAGAGACAAUAUGAGAUGUAAGGAUAGAUAGGUAAGAUGGAUAGAUAGACGAUAUGAGUUGUAAGGAUAGGUAGAUAGAUAGAUGAGAGAAUAUGAGAUGUAAGAACAGAUGGAUGGAUAGAUAGAAAGAUAGAUGAGAGAAUAUGAGAUGUAAGAAUGGAUGGAUGGAUAGAUAGAAAGAUAGAUGAGAGACAAUAUGAGAUGUAAGGAUAGAUAGGUAGAUGGAUGGAUAGAUAGAUGAGAGAAUAUGAGAUGUAAGAAUGGAUGGAUGGAUGGAUAGAAAGAUGAGAGACAAUAUGAGAUGUAAGGAUAGAUAGGUAAGAUGGAUAGAUAGACGAUAUGAGUUGUAAGGAUAGGUAGAUAGAUAGAUGAGAGAAUAUGAGAUGUAAGAACAGAUGGAUGGAUAGAUAGAAAGAUAGAUGAGAGAAUAUGAGAUGUAAGAAUGGAUGGAUGGAUAGAUAGAAAGAUAGAUGAGAGACAAUAUGAGAUGUAAGGAUAGAUAGGUAGAUGGAUGGAUAGAUAGAUGAGAGAAUAUGAGAUGUAAGAAUGGAUGGAUGGAUGGAUGGAUAGAAAGAUGAGAGACAAUAUGAGAUGUAAGGAUAGAUAGGUAGAUGGAUGGAUAGAUAGAUGAGAGAAUAUGAGAUGUAAGAAUGGAUGGAUGGAUAGAUAGAAAGAUGAGAGACAAUAUGAGAUGUAAGGAUAGAUAGGUAAGAUGGAUAGACAGACGAUAUGAGUUGUAAGGAUAGGUAGAUAGAUGAGAGAAUAUGAGAUGUAAGGAUAGAUAGGUAGAUGGAUGGAUAGAUAGAUGAGAGAAUAUGAGGUGUAAAGGUAGAUGGAUAGACAGAAAGAUAGAUGAGAGAAUAUGAGAUGUAAGGAUGGAUGGAUAGAAAGAUAGAUGUAAGGAUAGAUAGGUAGAUGGAUAGAGAAAGAGAUAGAGUGGUUUUUACUCCUACUUACUUUCUCACCCCGAGUUUUAACCUAGUGUUCAUGUGGCCCGCCCUUGGUUUUAUUGUUCUUUUGAUUUUGUUUACUGUAGUGUAUAUUUUCUUGUAUUGUAUUGUUUAAUGCGUUAUGAUUUGUUGUUUUAUAUUGUAUUGUUUUGGGCAUGGCCCCAUGUAAGCCGCCCCGAGUCCCCGUUGGGGAGAUGGUGGCGGGGUAUAAAUAAAGUUGUUUAUUAUUAUUA